AGAGCGAACGCUGGCGGCAGGCUUAACACAUGCAAGUCGAACGCUCGUAGCAAUACGGGAGUGGCAGACGGGUGAGUAACGCGUGGGAACAUACCCUCCGGUUCGGAAUAGCUCAGGGAAACUUGGAUUAAUACCGGAUACGGCUGAGAGGCGAAAGAUUUAUCGCCGGAGGAUUGGCCCGCGUUCGAUUAGCUUGUUGGUGAGGUAACGGCUCACCAAGGCGAUGAUCGAUAGCUGGUCUGAGAGGAUGAUCAGCCACAUUGGGACUGAGACACGGCCCAAACUCCUACGGGAGGCAGCAGUGGGGAAUAUUGGACAAUGGGCGCAAGCCUGAUCCAGCCAUGCCGCGUGAGUGAUGACGGCCUUAGGGUUGUAAAGCUCUUUCGCUCGGGACGAUAAUGACGGUACCGAGAUAAGAACGCCCGGCUAACUUCGCGCCAGCAGCCGC
rnacentral:rRNA from 1 species